rnacentral:lncRNA from 1 species
GUUUUGUAAAUAGGGUCACCUCCAUUUGUAAUGCUGUCACAACUAUGUUUAUCAUUAUGAACAUGAUUAAUAACAUUACAAAAUAGGUAUUACCUCUAAGAUAUGCAAGAUAUUAGAAACUGCUAUGAUGGAUUACUGUCUGCUGCUGCAGCUAUGACAAAUAGUAUAUUUGAAAAAAAAAAAAAAAAAAAAAAAAAACCAAAGCGCCGAGCUUAG